CCGCUUCUCGACCAGUUUUCUUCCUCUCUGCAACUAGAAAAAGGGUGAGUUUCCAUGAUAAUUCUUUUGAUUCUUCUUUUAUCACGACGAGUUACUGAAGUUACUCACCAUGAAGACGGCUAUAAACAUUAAGAGUGAAGAAGAAUAGGAUUAUGAAUAUGGAUUUCGUGGUUAAGAAUGGCUUUGAUGGAGUUGUUGUUAAGAAUGGUUUUGAUGGAGUUGUUGUUGUGGUUAAAAAUGAUUAGGUGGUGCUGUUUUGCUGUUGGUGGUGGUGCUGCUGCUUGCUGUUGGUGAGGAUGGGUAUUUAGAAUACCAGAUGGCUGAAGUAAGGGAGAAGAUGGUGGUGAUUCUGUGGGUUGGAAGGAGCUACUGUUGCAUCUUGAACUGGUGGUGUUGUAGUUGGUUGAACUAUUGGAUUUGUAUGUGAGAUUGCAAUGGUUUGCUGAGAGAAUGGAACUGAACGCACUGGUGUUGUGGUAGUUGUUGAUUGCAGUGGUGAAGGACAGGGUAGAGUUAUAGAGCUUGGUGUUGAACUGUGGUUGCAAAUGCAGAUGAGAUUGAUGCUUAAUGUUUGAAUGACGUAGCUUGAGGCUUUGUGUAACAGAUGACUGAAGUAACGGAGAAGUUAGCACCGAAAAUUCAGCCCAGUUCAGGAUCGUGGCACCACAUUCACUCAAGGGUUUACCGCUUCUUCUCUUGGGGUAUAGUCACUGUCACCACCGUCGCUAUCACCACUUCAUCACCAUCACCUCAACAACGGAAGAGGGGUAUUUAGAACAAAACUCGGACUGUUUUUUCAAAAACAGUUAAGUCGGAUGGAGAAAGACCAGUUUGUCAUCACUAAUUUAAUGUAUGGUCAUUUUGUAAACCAAAUUAAGAAAGGGUGACCAUUUUGUAAAACACCCUUUUCAGAACCCCUCUUCUCAUCUUCUCCAAACCCAUCACCGCCGUCACCACCACUUUCUGUCUCUAAUCUUCUCACCAUUCUUCAACUGUUUCAGUAGCAAUAUACAGACCCAUCACCGCUGCCACCACCAUUUUUGUCCCUAAUCUUCUCACCAUUGUUCGACCGUUUCAGAAUCCCAUUGUUACACCUGUUUCUAACAAAUGAUACAAACAUCAAAAUCGAAAAAAUUCACCCCCAUCCACGAACCCUAAAUUACCAACACCACCGCCCCUGCAAUUAAACUUUCAAUAAAAAUCAACAAAGAUCUCUAUAAAAUAUUGUUCUUAUUACUUCUUCCCUUGUCAAACCAUUGGGGAUUUUCAGAUCCCAAAAUUGCCUUCAAUUUCUUUGUUAGGGUUUUUAGAUCCCCAAAUUAAUUAACCAUCAACUUAUUUAUACAUCUUUACUGAGUUGCGGCGAUAGGUUUUUGAUCUUCGAGAUUAAUCUCUUUUGUAUUUCUUCUAAUUUGCAGAGGUGAUUUUCUAAUUUUAGUUGGCUGAGUAAACCGAUCUUGUUGCUGGGUGAUUAGGGAAUUAAUAUGGGAAGAAAGACAACCUAAACAGUCAACUAGAGUCAACGUCGUUUUUAAGUACCAAACUCUAAGUUUGACAAAUGUUAGACCAAACAUUAACAUUGGACAAAAUGUAAGUACCAAAAACCAAAUAACCCUUCUUUCUACAUUUUCCCACGAAGGAAACUUGAAAGACUGAGAAGUAAAGGGAUGUUUCUCCAUUAAUUGCAGCAUUUGGGUUCCAAGAAAAACCCUUGGGUUUCACAUUUUCACCUAUAAAGCUUCCAUCUUGAAACCAUUUUGAGACACGGAACAGACAUUAAGAGAGGUUGGAACUUUGGAAGAAAUUGGAAACUUUGAGAGAGUUCAUAUACAGACCAGAGAUUAGUUAAUAAUGAACUUAAAGACCCAAAUUGGUAUCCUUUUUAGACAACAUAUUGCUUAUUGUUGUUUUUGAACUUCUAACCAUCCUUAAUUUUUGGAUGCCAAACAUCAACUGGAAUUAGAGGUUGCACUAAUGAAAGGGAGAUUGGAAGCCUUGAAGCACGUUGCAGGUGCUGACGCAGAUUGUGAAUUGAAGAAGAAUAUCAAAGAUUUGACUGUAUCUUUGAAAGACAAGAUAGAAGAACUAGAAGCCAUGAUCUUUGACUCUACUAGUCAAGGAACGCCAAGGCACCAAUGAGCUGCAGGAAGCUCGAAAGGAACUAAUCAAUCAACUGAGAGAAAUGGGUAAUGGUGGUGCCAUUGGAGUUAAGAGAAUGGGAGGCAUUGAUUUUAAACCUUUCCAGGAUGCGUGCAAGAAGAAGUAUAGUGCCGAUGAAGCAGACGUCAAGGCUUCUCAACUUCUUUCUGAUUGGGAAAAUGAA